AAUGCAUAAAACGGGAAUCCAGGAAGGGAUACAUAGGGAAAGCGAUCACAUAACGCCUUCAGAUGUCGAUUUCAGGAAGGACACCGGCCGAACAAGUGCAUUACUACUACGGGAUUCCACGAGGCGGGCGCGGUAUUGCCGCUCUCUACCGAGACCACUUGCUGAACAGCGAGGCUCAACUGAUGAAGCUUGGCACUAUAGUGGAUUCGUUUCUGAGCCUUGUUAAGUGUUGUAGUUAACCCUACUGCCCAAAACAUCUGGUUGCUGUCUAUGCUGGUGGUCCGCAACAACACGCUUCUGCCAGCGUGUAGACAACACACAGCCAGUGGGGAAAAACAUACAGAUAAAUGUGGGUAGAGAUGCUGCCUUUCGGUGGGCAUCGUGACACAUCAUCAUCGCCCUACUUUCCUCAUCCAUUCCUCCCCCUCCGGCUUCCCGUCCAUCCAUUCACCGGGGUGCCCUGGCGGCUUCAAGUGCGUCAGAGCGAGUGCUGCGGGGCGAGGCUAGGGCAUAAUGAGUCAGAAAAUAAAGCCAAGAGCGCUGAGGCCACAAGCCUUUGAUUUGCAAAGCUGAGAGGCGGAUCAAUAAAUGUGAAGACGUUGGCAUACUGGCAUAGACAACCUGAUCACCUCUAGUUAUCCCACCCGGCUCUGUGAUGUUCCUUAGAGCUUAUCCUUAUGGAUAAUUUACAUGGCUUUGUGUUACUCUGUCUGGGUGUGCUUGUUUGAACUAACAAGGGACCGUGAGAGACCGCCUUUUAAUAAGACAAAGUUGUUAUGCAAGCACUACAAACAACAAGUCUCAAAAGACCUCCUGAAUACAAAAUGCUAUUUGCAUCCCUGUGAGAAAGAAACAUUCUUUAAAUUUAAUGCAGUAGAGAAAUCAACACUGUUAGGUGAUACCUUUAUGUCUAGAUGAGAAACAACCAUACGCAUAUUUAUAUACACACAGCACAUAUACACAGAUACUUGUGUGUGAUGUAUAUGCACAUCUUGUUUGCAUCAUGUUGUUCAUCUCAUUACUCUAAAUACUAAUAAAACUCA